ensembl:lncRNA
GGCUUCUUCACCUUGUAGUCUAACACACUGGAGAAGAGGAAAAUGGACACAAUUCGAUGGAUAUCAAUCAACAAAGAGGUAUACAGAGGAAGAGGCAUACAAAGGUAUGUCAAUUGGUGUUGGUAUGUUAUGCAGAUCACAUGUCCCAUCCUCCUCUCUUAUUUCUUCAAUGAAUAUCCCAUAGGCCUCUACAUUAUGGGUAAGGUAUGUAUAUGAAAACCAUUAUCAAAACUUUUUGUUCCAUUAUCAUUUACCACAAAAACUAAGGUAUGAAUACUGUCAUGUGCAUGUUUUGUUAAUCAUCUGUAUAAUUACUAUUUUUUGGAUCCACAUACUUCACCCUCUUUACACCUCUGAUCAAUAUAACAGGAAACCUGUUUGAUCACCAUGCACUGCAAAAUCAUUCUGGCUAUGGAUACGGAGAGCUUCAACACAUUAACAUCAACACGCCAGAGGAUAUACCCAUUGGACUUUGCUGGGCUAUGCUGGGAGUCUACCUCAUAUUUGGAUUUUUUUUAUUCUGCUUUGUCACUAAAAUCUUUUCUUUUUUUUC